rnacentral:rRNA from 1 species
GGAUCCCUACGGGGGGCAGCAGUGAGGAAUAUUGGUCAAUGGCCGGAAGGCUGAACCAGCCAAGCCGCGUGAAGGACGAAGGUGCCAAGCAUUGUAAACUUCUUUUGUCAAGGGACAAAAUCAGGCUCGAGAGCCUGACCGAGGGUACUUGAAGAAAAAGCAUCGGCUAACUACGUGCCAGCAGCCGCGGUAAUACGUAGGGGGCAAGCGUUAUCCGGAUUUACUGGGUGUAAAGGGAGCGUAGACGGCUGUGCAAGUCUGAAGUGAAAGCCCGUGGCUCAACCGCGGAACUGCUUUGGAAACUG